rnacentral:lncRNA from 1 species
GGCUUAUUUAUUUAUUUAUUUUUUCUGUAUUAAUUUAUUCCAAAUGCAUGUUGAUAUGUGUUGAUGCACAUGCCACAGUGCACAUACAGAGGUCACAGGUGCACAUGCCACAGUGCAUAUACAGAGGUCAAAGGACAACUUGUGGGAGUUGGUUCUCUCCUUCCAACAUGGGGGUCCUGAAGAUUGAACUCAGGUUACCAGCCUUACACAGCACACUCUCCUUUACCUUCUUAGCCAUCUCAUGAGCCCAGCCUCUUUAUUCUUAAUGGUGCAUGAACAUUAUUAAUAAUUCAAGGCAAUAAUGUCAUCUAUUCCAUUAUAUUCUUCAUCAUCUUGGGGUCUGAAACUGUUAGGGCAAUCUGGUUCUUAAACCUGUUUCAUAAAUUUGAGCAAAUAAAGUAACUAACUGGUUUUUCUAGCAAAUAUUUACUGAGCAUUUACUGUGUGCGUGGGAGCAGAAGCGUGAAUGCUUACAGUCCUGCUGAUCCAACAUCCCUUCGUAACCUAAGCCUGGCGUACAAGUCAAGGGUUGUGAACACUGUUCAAAAGAGAGCAAAAAAGUCCCCAUAGGCCAUCGGUUAGAUAAAACCUUGCUACCCACAUGUGCUGUCUAGCUUUUUGUCAACUCCAUAUAAACUAGCUUCACCCAGGAGGAAGGAACCUUGAUUGAGAAACUACCUCCAUCUGAUUGGCACGCAGGGGAGAAAACGUAGAACUUUUUGUUGUUGUUGUUUUGAUUAAUGGCUGAUAAGGAACAGUCCAGCCCAUGGUGGGUGGGUCACUCCUGGGCAGCAGCUGGUCUUGGGUGGCACAAGAAAACAGACUGGGUGAGCUGUGGAGAGCAGGACGUAAGGAGUGUCCCCCAGUAGCCGCUGCCUCAGUUCCUGCCCUCAGUGGUCCACUGUGACCUGGAAGUUGUACAACAAAAUAAACCUUUUCUUCUCCAAGUUGGCUUUGGUCAGCAUUUUAUCACAGAAACAACAGCAAACUAGAACACCAAACCAGGCCAGAUAAUUCUAGAUGAUGCAGGGAGUGUUUUUCUCCCUUGGUCUCUGUUGAUCAAAGAAUGAACUCAUUUUGGACAAGCUUUCCCCAGCUCCAGAGACUUUCAUCCAAGACGCCACGGCUCCCUAUAAAUGGCAAUUAUGUCUUUUAACACCCUUGUUCGCCCCAUUUAAUGGAGAAGAAAAGUGAGGAGGAGAAAGAUCCAUUGCUUAAGGAGGAGCCACCAACAAGGGAUGAUGCUUGUGGCCUGCUGAGACCAGCUCUGUCUUCGAGUGAGCAGAAGGCGCCCAGCAGCUGGCUUCUCCAGUGUGAGGUUCGGCAGUCUCUGCUGUCCUUGAUUUCCUGAGCCCCUGGGUUCACAGAGUGGGGAUAGUAGGGGAUGUUGAGACCCCAGAUAUCCUCAGAAUCCCCCUUCUCCUUGUCUGUAAGACGCAUGACCCCGCGCACCUCUCACCCGCUGAGCCGCGCAUGCGCCGCCGCAGCGCGCCAGCAUGGCUCUGGCUUCUUUGUGUGCACCGAGAUCCGCGCGCGGCCUUGGCCAUCUCCGCUUUGUUUUCCUCAGCGCAGUUUUUGUUCGCGAGGCUUUUACCCCCGGAGUAGGUUUCUUGGGGUCACAGUUAAGACAUUUGAUCGUACUGAAACUCGUGUUCAACGAUCUCCUUGCAUGAAAUAGU